rnacentral:rRNA from 1 species
AGAGUUUGAUCAUGGCUCAGCCUGAACGCUGGCGGCGUGGCUAAGACAUGCAAGUCGUACGGUGUAGCAAUACACAGUGGCGAACGGGAGAGUAAAGAAUCGCUAAUGUACCCCGGACUUUGGGAUAGCUGCCCGAAAGGGCAGGUAAUACCAGAUGAUAUAACCGAUAGGCAUCUAUUGGUUCUCAAAGGUCCGCCGGUCUGGGAGCAGGCGAUUUCGUAUCAGCUAGUUGGUGAGGUAACGGCUCACCAAGGCGACGACGCGUAGCCGGACUGAGAGGUUGGCCGGCCUCAUUGGGACUGAGACACUGCCCAGACUCCUACGGGGGGCUGCAGUAACGAAUCUUCCGCAAUGCACGAAAGUGUGACGGAGCGACGCCGCGUGUGGGAUGAAGUCCUUCGGGAUGUAAACCACUGUCAGGGGUUAGAAAGUUCUGAUCAACCCCAGAGGAG